UACUGAGUCAUUGCUUUGUCACCGCCCCUCCCCGCGUGAUGAAGAGCAGGCAGAGCGUGAUCAGAAAGGUCAGGCCAAUGAGAAGUCGCGGAGGGCCGCGGGGGCGCACGUGCUUAGACAGCUGAUUGGACAAGGGAAGGCACCGGUAUGAUGAAGGACCAAUGGCAAGAUGGUGCGCCCAUGUGGACAGGCUUUGGAGAAACAAUAUUGUAAGGAUGUGGAGCGAGUGAAGUCUUUAGCGCCGACUGUGUCACGAGUUUCCAUGAUCUCAUCUCAUCUUGACUAGAUUAUAGUGUUCAUUUCUAGUCACUGUGGUUAAAGAAGAACACUGAUAAGCUGGAAUGUGUCCAGGGAAGGACAGCCAUGAUAGUAAAGGCCUGGAGUCCAUGACAAAUAAAAAUCAGUUGAAGGAGCUGGAUAUGUUUAAUUGGAAGCAAAGAAAACACAGGGCCUUUUGAUAACUUCUAAGAUGACAAUUAAGACCUAGAAGAGUAAACCAAUUGGCUCAACCAACAGUGAAAGCGCCUUGUUGAUUGGGGGAAGACUGGAGGAGCAGAAGUGGUUGACCAAAAAAGCUAACCAUACCUCUGGAGGACUUAAAAAGCUAAAGGAAUAUCAGAAGUAAGUUAGUUAGUAGUGGAAGAAUUCCAUUUUAGAGUUUGAUAAUUUCAGAGUUGGAAUCAGAAGUAGAGGAAAACUAGUAUUCUGAUAGUGAAUCACACUUGAAGGGGAAAAGAGACAUUUAGACUUUUUCUGCUCUUUCUGCCCUCUAUACACCCCAGAUGACCCUGUUAUUAGAAACACUGCAUCAGAGAGACAUGACUAGGACACAUAUAUAGGAAAAGUUACUCAUAUUAGGAAAGAAGUGACUUCAAAAAGUGUGACCUCUUGUAUCAGAUUGAAAUGAUAGCUUUGGACCUUCCAAAAGGACAUCUAGUACCAGGAAUUGUGAAUUACCUCUUUGACACAUAUAGUCUUUCUAUAUGUGUCAGUGGACACUAUUUUAUCUAAGUUUGAACCCUCUCUUUCUGUAGACCUGUUUGUAUUUUCAGGAAAGUAAGCCUUGGCUUAAUUUUUUUGUGGAGGGAAGAGAGAAGAAUGUUACAUUAACUUGUCAUUCAUUCAAAAACAUCUUAAUAAAUACCUUUGUUAAAACCAAUUAAGUUUUUUUAAUCAUUUUUAAAAUAGAAAGAUCAUUGAUGAAGGCUUGUGGGCAAGUGUUAGAAUAUUAGCUCCACAGAUUUGCUCUUAUAAUCUAAAAUAGCAGCUACAUUCUGAGCAUACAACAUGUAAAUGCCAGGACAUAUUGGGAGAGUAGUUGUUGACUUAGAAUAAUCAUUAAAAGUCAGAUUUGUGUAUUUUAUGUAUCACUCUAUUCCUUGUAGGUAUAAACUGCCAGUUAUAGUUGUUUUCUUUCCUAUAGAACCAAGUUUCAUGUAUUACACUGUAAUUGCCAUAAGAAGGAGAUCAAAAUAGCCUACAAAGGGCUUUAGCCCUAAACAAAUAACCUUGCCAACC